UUUUCUAUACACUUAUUAUCUAAUGAGUUCCUCUUAUAAAUUGCUUUGAAUUAAACAGUUUUCCUGAUGAAAAUUGUAUUGUUUUGGUAACCCAAUGAUGGCUUUGAACGGUGUUGUUAAGCUGGGGAAUGUUGUUCCUCAACUGGGUUGGGGAGAAUUGAGUUUUAAGCCUUCUAGGUUUGUGUGUUAUCAGGUGAAAGACAAUGAGGGAGUUCGUAAAUGGGAGUGUCUUAAUGGGUUUUUGAGUUUAUCAUCAACCCACCAGACAAUAAGAUCUAUGGAUGAUGAUGAGAAGUCGUCAAGUUCGGCUACGGA